rnacentral:rRNA from 1 species
CCUACGGUCGACAGCAGUGAGGAAUAUUGGUCAAUGGGCGGGAGCCUGAACCAGCCAAGUAGCGUGCAGGCUGACGGCCCUACGGGUUGUACACUUCUUUUAUCCGGGAAUAACGCGCCUUACUUGUAGGGCUUUGCAUGUACCGUAUGAAUAAGGACCGGCUAAUUCCUUGCCACCAGCCGGGGUACUCCGGGAGGGCCUGCCGUUGUCCGGAUUUUUUGGGUUUAAAGGUGCCCUAGGGCGCAUUUCAAGCUGGCUGGGAAAUGUUCGUGCGCAACCCGGGCCGUGCAGCGCGAACUGGCGUGCUGGAGUCAGCGGAAAGCAGGCGGAAUUCGUAGUGUAGCGGUGAAAUGCUUAGAUAUGACGAAGAACCCCGAUUGCGAAGGCAACUUGCUGCAGCGGAACUGACGCUGAUGCUCGAAAGCGCGGGUAUCGAACAGGAUUAGAUACCCCGGUAGUC